UACGAAGGGGGCUAGCGUUGCUCGGAAUCACUGGGCGUAAAGCGCACGUAGGCGGACUCUUAAGUCGGUGGUGAAAUCCUGGAGCUCAACUCCAGAACUGCCUUCGAUACUGGGAGUCUCGAGUUCGGGAGAGGUGAGUGGAACUGCGAGUGUAGAGGUGAAAUUCGUAGAUAUUCGCAAGAACACCAGUGGCGAAGGCGGCUCACUGGCCCGAUACUGACGCUGAGGUGCGAAAGCGUGGGUAGCAAACAGG
rnacentral:rRNA from 1 species